rnacentral:rRNA from 1 species
UACGGGGGGGGCAAGCGUUGUUCGGAAUUACUGGGCGUAAAGGGCGCGUAGGCGGCCUGUUAAGUCGAACGUGAAAUCCCCGGGCUCAACCCGGGAACUGCGUCCGAUACUGGCAGGCUUGAAUCCGGGAGAGGGAUGUGGAAUUCCAGGUGUAGCGGUGAAAUGCGUAGAUAUCUGAAGGAACAUCAGUGGCGAAAGCGACUUCCUGGACCAAUACUGACGCUCAUGUGCGAAAGCGUGGGGAGCAAACAGG